GGUUCCAGUGCACAAGGCACAACGCAACUUUGACCUUUGACCCAUCCGUUUUGGGCAUAGCGCGCAUGGCUACUAUUAUGUGAACAGUACUGCACUGUGAUCUAUACUAGUACAGUACUAGACAAGUCUACAUGUCUGAAUCAAGCAGGAAUAGGGUUAUUAAGACGUACUUUUACAAAGGAUACACAAUUAGAGAAUUCCUAAAUUCCUGUAUUCAAAAAGAGUACUGCGUAAUCUAAGAUUGAGAGGAGACGUAAUCCCUUGACUAGGAGACGGCUACUGGCUAUUAUUGAAGCAAUUUCUGUAAGUAUUGUCACAUUCGCAGAAAGAGUUGAAAGAGUUACAGGAGUCUAAGAAGUUGUGGAGGAGAGUGGUGCGAAAGUAUAAGCUGCCUAUAUCUCGGUAAGAGGCUAGGUUGAUUACUGCAUGCUUGUCUACCAUGCAGGAGAUAGUACGAAAAUUGCUUCGCACCAGAGGAAACAAAACUCCGAAAAGCUCAUCGACUCACUCGAAGACACUAAGGGUUUGCAAGCCAAGGGUUUAUUUGAUGAGACUGAUCCACUACAGCUGUGAGUUUUAUUAGAGCACACUAUAUAUGUAUGGCCAGUUGGUUGUGGAAGCUAAUCAUUGCUAACCUUUAAUUGCAUAGGAAAUGUUUUGUUGUAGAUUGGAAUUCCUUAGGAAACAGAGACAUCCUUACGUCUCCUUGUGGAAUCCCUGAGAAGCUAUUCAAUCUACCUGAACUAUAUGAGGGAUCCAACUCAAACAUACAUGAUGAGUAGAGCAGAAGAAUCGAGGGUGGUCGCGCGUCAGCCACCAAGACGAAGGGUACGUAUGUUCUUUGUUUGGUCAAAGUUUGUUGGAAACUGAACUCUGACUUGUUGUAAUUAGUAUAUUUAGCCAUUACGUAAUGAUUAGUGACCUUUGGUCUUCUAGAAUAUUCUUGUGUUUUUGUAUUUUAAGCCACGUGUGUGACCUUUACUCUUAGUUCUGUUUUGUGAUUCUGUGAUGUUCUAGAAAAUAACAGGUUAUGGGCCCAGGCAACGCCUAAGCUGAGCAGUAGAUCUAGAUAACAGUAAACAGAACUCGGAUCAAGAUCAACGGAUUUGUCGGAUCAAGGAUCAACGGAUUUGUCCAGUCAUGGAAGACAAGUGGACUGUGGAGAAACUAGACGGGUCCAAUUAGAUCACGUGGAAAUUUCAAGUGAAACAUCUGUUACUACUGGCCAAAGGCCUAUGGAAGUAUGCAGAUGGAUCAGCUGUACUUGCGGAAGAUGCAACAGUCGAACAACAAACGAAGCAUCAAAGUACGAAGCAUCAAAGUGAAUCACAGAAGGCAUUCUCUGUCAUUGCUAUGUCAGUUAGUACAUCACAAUUGUACCUGAUAACCUCCUGUGAAAGACCAGAGGAAGCCUGGAAUUCCCUCAAAAAACAUUUCGAGAGGGAAACGUUAGCCAACAAACUUUUCCUUAAAAAGCAGUACUUUAGGAAGGAAAUGAGUGAGGGAAACUGUAUCAACAUGCACCUAAAGGAAAUGAAAGAACUGACUGACAAACUCAGCUCAAUCGGAGCACCAAUCUCCGAGGAAGAUCAAGUUGUCACCCUCCUAGGAAGUCUGCCUUCAUCAUUCUCUAUUGUAGUUACUGCACUUGAGGCACGCGUAGAUGAUCUGACACUAGACUUUGUCCAGCAGCAGCUAAUACAUCACGAACGCAAACUCAAAGCCCAAGAACUGAAGUCUGAGGCACCACACGAUUCAGUGUUAUUGGGAAAUCAAAGGCGGAAGACCCCAAGGUACUGGACUUGUGACGAACCUGGACACGUUCAACGGUUCUGUCCAAAACGAAGAGGGACGUCACAGCACCGAGCACCGAGCAAAGAUCACUGAAGAUGCAAGCAAUGAAGAUGAAGGAGCAUUCCCAGUAUCCGAUGAAGUACCUGAAAACAAGUGGUUGAUAGACUCUGGUGCGUCCAGUCAUAUGACUCCCAAGAGAGAGUAUUUUUCAACGUAUCGAGCAUUCUCUACUCCCGAGAAAGUUGGCCUUGGUGACGGCAGAACUGUUGAAGCAGUGGGAGUUGGAACCGUCCGAGUAAACAUGUUGUUCAAGCAAUAGUAAGAAAGCCGUAAUGUAUGAUGUAUUACACGUUCCGAAGCUGGCUUGCAAUUUGUUCUCUGUAAGAGCAGCAGCAAAAAAGGGGAACACAGUGAAAUUCAAUCAAGUACGAUGUUGGAUCAAAGGUCCCAAAGGAAGUCUUCAAGGAAUGGGGUCACUAACCGGAAAACUGUAUCAACUGAAGUGUGAAGUCGAAGUCCUAAAUGACAAAGAAAAUGUUUCAGUGGUAACAGAAAACUUACCAGAAGUUGACUUGUGGCAUCAACGGUUAGGUCACCUGAACAAGCAACAACUCAACACUCUUGUGGAUCGAAAUUUUGCAUCUGGCAUUAAACUGUCAACAACCUCCGAGUUAUCGUUUUGCGAAGGAUGUGUGGAGGGAAAGAUGCAGCGCAAACCCUUCAAGUCUCUGACACAUAAACAGUCGAAAAGAAAACUAGAACUCAUUCAUAGUGAUGUGUGUGGACCAUUUCAGGCAGAGUCGAUUGGUGGAAGUCGCUAUUUUCUCACAUUUAUUGACGACUAUACAAGAUGUGUCUGUCCAUUUUAUCAAGCACAAAUCAGAAGUGUUUGAGAAGUUCAAACUAUUUGAGGCAAUGAUGACGAAGGAGUGCGAUGAGCCGAUAAUGAAACUGAGAACAGACAAUGGGGGCGAGUACUUGUCAAAGGAAUUUCAGGCAUAUCUCGCAUCAAACGGAAUCGAACACCAACUCACUGUACCUCAUUCUCCCCAACAGAAUGGUGUGGCAGAACGGCUAAACCGUACACUUGUGGAAUCAGCGAGAGCUAUGCUAUCUCAUUCUAAUCUACCCAAUAGAUUUUGGGCUGAGGCAGUAUCAACUGCUGCCUAUCUCAGGAAUCGUACUACCACAUCUGCCAACGAAGAGCAACUCACACCUUAUGAGAAGUAGCAUGGUCACAAGCCGGACAUCAGUAAUCUCAAGGUGUUUGGGUGUGCUGCCUAUAGUCAUGUGUCAAAUGCACAAAGAAGAAAACUUGACAAGAAGGCACGAAGAAUGUGUUUUGUUGGUUAUAGUAAAAAUCCUAAAGGAUACAGAUUGAUCGAUAUCAACACUGAUAAGGUCAUCAUCCGAAGAGAUGUUGUGUUUAAUGAAUCUGACUUUCGAUUUCUCAACCGAAAAGAUGGCACUGAAAGUGUACCAAUCCUACCUGACUUGUUCGAUGAGCCUGAAGAUGAAGGCGAAAUGUUCGAUGAGCCUGAAGAAACUCGGUCGGAAGAACUACCACGUAGAUCGGAACGAAACCUGGAAGAACCACUACAAAGAUCAGAACGAACUGUGCAACGUCCAGACUACUAUGGACAUUCCGAAUCUGCUGACACGACCACUACAGAAUUUGCUGAUACAGCAAUCGUACCUGAGCACCGUGCCUGCAUUAUGCAAGAAAUACCCGAGCCAGUAUCAUUUGAUGAAGCACUUAAAAGUCCUCAUGCAAAAGAUUGGAAACUUGCAACUGACGCUGAGUAUCAGUCUCUGGUCGACAACGAUACUUGGGAUUUGGUAGAACCCCCCGAAGGAAGAGCAGUGGUAGGCUGCAAAUGGGUAUUUAAAGUCAAGUAUGAUGGAGAAGGCAAAGUUGAACGAUUUAAGAGCAGGCUGGUUGCAAAAGGGUAUUCUCAGAGAUACGAAAUCGAUUUUGAAGAGACGUUCUCACCAGUUGUGCAUUUUUCGUCAGUUCGAACACUUUUGGCCCUUGCUGUACAAAAGGAUAUGAUCGUCCAUCAAAUGGAUGUAGUUACUGCAUUCCUCAAUGGCGAGCUCGAUGAGGAAAUUUACAUGCAACAACCUGAUGGAUACCAAGUUUCGGGGAAAGAAAAUCUUGUCUACAAAUUGAAGAAAUCUCUUUAUGGAUUAAAACAAGCACACCUAGGUGUUGGAACCGAGCUUUGAGAGAGUUUAUGAUACAAAUUGGAUUUGUACAAAGCGAUGCUGAUUCAUGCGUGUUUACCUGACUCAAUGAGCACACAACAAUCAUAGCUGUCUACGUUGAUGACCUGAUUCUCAUUUCAGAUGUCAUUGAAGUCCUGUUGGAAACGAAAGGGCUCCUGUCCGAGCAGUUCAGAAUGAAGGACAUGGGUCCACUUCAUUACUGUUUAGGUAACUGUGUUUGGCUACACCAGAAGCAGUACAUAAAGUUGAUGCUCAAGAAGUUUGGCCUUGCAGAUGCAAACAAUGUUUCUACCCCAGCCGAUUGUAAUGUGAAGCUAGUCAAAUAUGAUCAAGUGAGUGGAUCUACUGACCAUGUUGAAUAUCAGUCAAUGGUAGGUAGUCUGCUCUAUGCAGGUUUGCGUACUCGCCCGGACAUUGCCCAGGCAGUGGGAGCAGUUUCUAAAUUUUGCUCUAACCCAACAGAAGCUCACAAAACUGCAGUAAAGAGAAUAUUCCGUUAUCUGAAGAAAACGAUGAAUCUGGCAUUGAAGUACUGUAAGGAUGGAAAACCAGUCACUGGAUUUUCAGAUGCUGACUGGGGAGGGGAUCUGGAUGACAGACGUUCAACUACAGGAAAUCUGUUUUUACUCGCUGGUGGAGCAGUAAGCUGGUUAAGCAAGAAGCAAGCAGUGGUUGCUCUGUCCACAACAGAAGCCGAGUAUGUGGCACUAAGUCUGGCUGCACAAGAAGCAACAUGGCUCCAGAAGUUGCUUACAGAUCUACAGAUGCCAACAGAACCGAUUGUUAUCAAGGAAGAUAACCAUGGAGCCUUAGCACUGUCUCGAAAUCCAAUUGUGCACUCCAGAACAAAGCAUAUCGAUAUUCGAUUUCACUUCAUACGGAAAGCACUGGAGGAUGGCAUUGUCGAUGUCGCUUAUUGCCCUACCUCUGAGAUGGUUGCGGAUAUACUUACCAAACCCAUUCCUCGUGAAAUUGCGUACCCUAAUGGGAAUAGAAGAACUUGUGACAAAUCCUACUAAUUAAGUGGGAGUGUUGGAAACUGAACUCUGACUUGUUGUAAUUAGUAUAUUUAGCCAUUACGUAAUGAAUUAUUAGUGACCUUUGGUCUUCUAGAAUAUUCUUGUGUUUUUGUAUUUUAAGCCACGUGUGUGACCUUUACUCUUAGUUCUGUUUUGUGAUUCUGUGAUGUUCUAGAAAAUAACAAAGUUGACAUACAUGCUGAGCAGAAUCAAGGUACAAGAGGCCACCGAGACGAAAAGUACGUAUACUUUGUUUGUUAAGUAGGGUUGUUUGUUAAGUAGGGUCAAAGUUCAUGCAGUACAGAGGGAUCCAACUCAGACCUACAUGAUCAAUACUGUAGUUACAGAGGGAGCUGACCAGACUUGGUCGCGCGUCAGCCAGUCAGCCAGUCAGCCACGAACGAUGUCACUGAGCCCAAGGUAUGUUUCUUACCUUAUAUCAGUUCAUGCAGUAUUAUGUACAGACGAUGUCACUGAGCCUAAGGUAUGUUUCUUACCUUAUAUUACAGUUCCUCCGUAUGUUGUUGCAUAUAUUGAUAUUGAUGUAGUAGAGAACUUGUUUCCUGCUGCGCAAGACAGAGUACAGCCAAACAAGAAAGUACAAUUCUAUGUACAUCAGGAUUUCUAACUAUCUAACUACAAAUCCUCCUUUUAUAAUUUAGUUCUACAAGGAAAUGUGGUCUAAACGUCUGACAAAACGUUUAAUAUUGAAUACUUUUCGAUUGAAUACUUUUUGAUGGAUGUAUGUGACGUUGGCUAAGGGUCGUCCAUAACAGCUCUCCUUUUUUCUGCACUUUCUAGUGCAUACGACACGCGCGAAAUUUUCGCUGAUUUCGUGGGUUAGCAAUCCUACACGAAAAUAUAGAUUAGAUUCCAUUUCCAGCUCUUGGAGGAAGCCUUGUCGGUAUCCGUUUUUACACUUGCCGCCGGUAAAUCGCCUGCAUCAUAAUUAUAGUAUGUUGCAAAAAUACAGCAGUAUGAACAUUGUGUGGUAUUCUGCUCAACAUUCUACAACCUCGUUAUAGCAAAGAGUGGGCAUAUACACACACCCCAUACACCCCACAUAUCCAGUUUGCUCAGCAACGAGGUUCAUCCAUAAUUUUAGCCUUUAUACCUGCCUGCAGUAGACUAGAUUAUCACAAAAACGGUCGCGAAGUCCUAUCUUGAAAGGGGCCUCACUAACAAUACAAUUGCAGCUCACUCACUAACCCAUACACACACCCUUCGGAAUAUCCAGUUCGCGAGGUUCGUGUCCCUUCCAUUCUCUGUCCCUUAUACCUGCGCCUGCAGUAGUCUCUUGUAAUUACAAAAAUGGCUUCUCUCUGUCACAACUUCCUCUCAACUUGAGACCACGAUCACCACGAUCACCACUUAAAGUAACAAUUGCAUAUUGCUGCGUACUAUUCCACUGGCCAUUGGUACUGCCUUAUACUAGCUAACCAUAUGGAGAAAACGUUGACCGAAACUAAUUGUUACAUAUAAGACUAUAUUUUCGAUAUUCGACAUCCCAGAGUAGCUCUGUUCAGAAUGGUGAUCUUGUGUAGGUGAGUGUAAUAAAUAACACAAAUAACACAAAGACAAAGACAUCGAAGCGUGCUUAAGCAAUUGUAGUUAUCACACAUUUGUAGUUAUCACACAUGAAUGUUUCUAACACAAUAAUGUGUAUGGUUACAUCUUGAGGCGUUUUUCAGGGGACUGCCCAGACGGUAUAUAUCUAGGCCGCAGAAUCGAUGCAGCCUGAUCACAACGCUGGGGCGGGCGAAGUGAGCCACAGCUGGAUGGGAAGGUGCGUAGUGCUGUCCUUACUCCCCUUACUCCCUUACUCCCACACUGGAGCAGGACCCAUUAUUAUGUUGCAUUAUAAAAAAAACAAAAGAAUGUAUUAGUGAUGGAGUUAUGGAGUUAUGGAUGGAUUUUUUAUGGUGAGCAGAGUAUCGAUGAUUGAUAAGACAGUGUUUUGGCAAAGAAACUAACGGAACUCCUUACCUAACCAUGCUGCUGAGGCGGGGUGACAAUAUGAUUUACAAUAUGAUUUAUCACUUAUUUAUCACUUAUGUAUGCAUAUCAUUAGGUUGGUGUGUACCGUGUGUGCUAUUGUUCAACGUUUUGGACGCAUGCGCGUGGGAGGCAGAGCCGAUUAUAGGUAUACUCUAUGGAUAACUGCGCUAUUAUUUAUCGGUACAUUACUGGUAUAGAGUGUUAAUGAGAAAAUAAUAGUUGACACUAGUUUAUGGCCAGGAAACCCCUAUCCCUCCCGCAUUACUCUUGCUAACCAAACCAGACUGGGCAUCACAGCAUUGGACCAGGCUGUGGAGUUCUAUUUUCGAAAUCCAUCCACCCAACGACUCAACUUCGUUAUAGUAUUUUGUAGCCUAUAUAGUUUUGCACCUCUGCACCAGUUAUGUCAAUAUGUGUCAUUUUUGUCAGGAAGUGGCAUUUCACAUGGGUCCAUUAAAUGUUUCGAAGCAAAUUGCACAAUAACUAAGCUGGAGGGGGGUUAAUAUUUGUUUCACAGACCCUGUAUUCACUUCGAAUGACAUUAAGCGUUGGUACGCUGAAGACAAAUCUAAAGGGUGCACAACUAGUGAAAGUAUUGUGUGGCUAAAAUAAUAUUCUGUCAUGCAAGUACACGUAGAAAACGUAUCUUACGUUGAGCAUCUCAGUCCUUCUGGGCAAUUCAAAAGAACACAAUGUGCCGAAAUUUUUUCCCAUAACUGUAGGUGUGAUUUGCAAUCUUGUACUGAUGUGCAGUCACUACACUAUUGUCACGAAAGUGACUAAAGUACAUGCAAGUUCACAUUAAUAAUAAUGUUUUCACAGAUUGAACCAUCAACUACAACACAUUGAAAAUGAAAAUUGUGUUUUAGAGAGAUGGAAAGCUGGUGAUAAGGUGAUAAAGUGUACAACUCACAACUCUGUACAACUCACAACUCGAAUUCCUUCAAAGCCGAAGCGUGAAACAAUGUUUAGUUCUCUUUGGUGAUAUCCAGUCCAUUGCUCGGCAACGAUGCUGGACAUAGCAUGACAUCAAAGAAGACGAUUACUGCGUACAAUAAAACAGCCUUACAAUAAAACAGCCUCUUCCUGUGAUCCUGUGAUUUAGAACAGCCAUGCAAAAUCACUUGGGAGAUCACACCUUUGGGUUUCUUCAAGUUCAAGUGAUAUUGACAUCCCUGCUAAUGUUAGACGUGAUGCCAUGAACAAGUAUUUUCUUCAGCAGCGAGCAGAGAGGAAAUAAUAGCAGAGAGGAAAUAAUAGAACUUGAAAUGAAACGUUUCAUUUCUAUGCUGCAUAAUCGGAUUGAUAGACUCACUACUUCUCUACCAUUGACACCAGCAAACUGUUGAAGAAAUGGGGAUGUUGAAGAAAUGGGCUUUGUGUUAAAGUACUCACACUCCGAAAAACUUUCGCACUGUAUUAUGUAGACGUUUAUGUAGACGUUAAUGAACUACCUAUUGUGAUCUCUUGUGAUCUCUAUUCACCGGAUUUCUUUGAUGAAGAACGAUAUUGAACGAACUGAACGAACUGAGAGGUUACGAAAGCUUGAGGCUGAGGAACAGGAGUCAUGCGAUGAAUCAGUAGAUAGUGAUGACAUGA